rnacentral:rRNA from 1 species
UACGAAGGGGGCUAGCGUUGUUCGGAAUCACUGGGCGUAAAGCGCACGUAGGCGGAUCUUUAAGUCAGGGGUGAAAUCCUGGAGCUCAACUCCAGAACUGCCUUUGAUACUGCGGAUCUUGAGUCCGGGAGAGGUGAGUGGAACUCCGAGUGUAGAGGUGAAAUUCGUAGAUAUUCGGAAGAACACCAGUGGCGAAGGCGGCUCACUGGCUCAUUACUGACGCUCAGGCGCGAUAGCGUGGGGAUCAAACAGG